rnacentral:rRNA from 2 species
UAAAGCGCACGCAGGCGGUCUGUCAAGUCGGAUGUGAAAUCCCCGGGCUCAACCUGGGAACUGCAUUCGAAACUGGCAGGCUUGAGUCUUGUAGAGGGGGGUAGAAUUCCAGGUGUAGCGGUGAAAUGCGUAGAGAUCUGGAGGAAUACCGGUGGCGAAGGCGGCCCCCUGGACAAAGACUGACGCUCAGGUGCGAAAGCGUGGGGAGCAAACAGGAUUAGAUACCCUGGUAGUCCACGCCGUAAACGAUGUCUACUUGGAGGUUGUGCCCUUGAGGCGUGGCUUCCGGAGCUAACGCGUUAAGUAGACCGCCUGGGGAGUACGGCCGCAAGGUUAAAACUCAAAUGAAUUGACGGGGGCCCGCACAAGCGGUGGAGCAUGUGGUUUAAUUCGAUGCAACGCGAAGAACCUUACCUGGUCUUGACAUCCACGGAAGUUUUCAGAGAUGAGAAUGUGCCUUCGGGAACCGUGAGACAGGUGCUGCAUGGCUGUCG